UCGUCAGGUGGGAUAAUCCUUACCUGUUCCUCCUUUGGAGGGCAGAUUAGAACAUGAUGAUUGGAGAAUGCAUGAAACGUGAUUAACGUCUCUGCGUAGUCAGGACUUGCAACAUCCUGAUUGCUCCUAUCUGAU
ensembl:snoRNA U8 U8 small nucleolar RNA